AAUCUCCGCGAGACUCGAAAAAAAAAAAAGGAGAAAAUGUGACCUCCGCUUCCGCUCAUCCUCUCCCGCCCCAAACCCUAGCAGCCAGCGAGAAUGGGGCAGCAGCCGCUCAAGCACGACCGCUCGCACGGCAAGGUGGACGCGUGGGUGACCCCGAAGAGACCGAGGAGCUCCCAGCGGCCAUCGGCGCCGCUGAAGGAGCUCGCGACGCCGCUACGGCCCCCGCCCCUGCCCCCAAGCCGAGGUGUGACGAUGCGACACCCGCGGCGAGGAAAUCCUCGGCGUCCAGCGAGCCCGGUUCACGCGGCGACGCCCCCGGCAGCGACCUCGGGACGGAAGAAUCAGAUGGCAUUGGCUGCUCAACCCCUGACAGCACGAAAGCAAUGCUUCAGCAGGAUGAUUAUGAGAAAAGGGAGUACUCUCCGGGUGUGGUUCUUUCUAAGAGUGGGGAUUCUGCGGUGAAGAUGGCAUCAGCUUAUGUAGACGACCUGCCUGCUGAAGAUUUGAGGGACAAUGAAGUAAUCACUGUGGAUAGUGAAGGCCCUAGCAAGCCUCUCCCAUCAAUUUCCCUUGUUCAAGAUGAGGAAGCAGUACGGCUUGCCAGAACUUUUGUCAACGAGCAAGUCAAAGAGUUCAUGGAAGGUGUCUCAGAGCCAGGAAUCCUGCAGAGUCGUUUGUCGAAAAUCACCUCAUUCCUUGUUCAGGCCACCUCUAUAGCUGCUGUCCUCCAUGAUGAAAUCCCUCGACAAAUACGUGCACAAAGUGCUUUGGUGACCCAGGUUUCAGAGCUUGAGAAGCAGGUUGAGGAGCUGUCCAAGAAGCUAUGUACUAUUGAGGGGCUUGAGGGGACCAAUGCACUAUUGAAGGAGACCCAGGCUGCCAUGCUGGAGGCACAAUCAGACCGAGCGACUACCGUUGCUGCCAUGAACAGCCUUGCUAUGCGCAUGGGAGCAUCAUUCGCUAGGCUGGGCACAAUACUCGAUCCCCCACCCAAUGUGGUUGAUUCUCUGGAGGAGAGCAUUAAGCAGAUGACAGCCCUGGUGUCUCUCCUCGUCCCUGUGUCUCACAGCCAUGGCUCGAGUCUAGCCAGGAGCAGCCUGACGUCUGGGGUUGCGGCAUUGCUAUGUAGAGGACGGGGCAUCAAGAGCCUGCGUGAGCCGUCGGGUAUGGAUACCCGUCAGUUUGUCCGCUCGCAGGGGCCUGAGUUCCACUCCCUGAUCUCUCAAGUUGUUGACUCCAUGGAGCAGCGGUUGGCCAAGACACUUGAAGGUGGUGGAUGGAGAGAUUCUAGAGCUACUGAAGAGUCAGGAAAACCAACAAACAACAAUAAAGGAACAAUGCCUGAACUGCAUUAAGUUAAUUACGAUGCAGUUUCUUUUGAUCUCAUCUCUAGUAGUAGUAUGAGAUGAGAUGGGCUGAUGGUAUCUGUUGUAGAUGUAGGGUGUAGCUCAGUAGCUCGCUGACUGCCAGUGUAGUAGCAUGUACGAGACCUGGCACUCUGGUUCGGUGACCUUGACUUAGGGCUUGUUUAGUUUCUAAAUUUUUUUAAAAAACAUCACAUCGAAU